rnacentral:rRNA from 1 species
AUUGAACGCUGGCGGCAGGCCUAACACAUGCAAGUCGAGCGGCUGAGGGGAGCUUGCUCCUGGAUUCAGCGGCGGACGGGUGAGUAAUGCCUAGGAAUCUGCCUGGUAGUGGGGGAUAACGUCCGGAAACGGGCGCUAAUACCGCAUACGUCCUGAGGGAGAAAGUGGGGGAUCUUCGGACCUCACGCUAUCAGAUGAGCCUAGGUCGGAUUAGCUAGUUGGUGGGGUAAAGGCCUACCAAGGCGACGAUCCGUAACUGGUCUGAGAGGAUGAUCAGUCACACUGGAACUGAGACACGGUCCAGACUCCUACGGGAGGCAGCAGUGGGGAAUAUUGGACAAUGGGCGAAAGCCUGAUCCAGCCAUGCCGCGUGUGUGAAGAAGGUCUUCGGAUUGUAAAGCACUUUAAGUUGGGAGGAAGGGCAGUAAGUUAAUACCUUGCUGUUUUGACGGUACCAACAGAAUAAGCACCGGCUAACUUCGUG